rnacentral:tRNA from 1 species
GGUUGUGGCUCAGUGGCAGAGUGCUUGCCUAGCAUGUGAGGCUCUGGGUUCGAUCCUCAGGACCA